AAUAGAUACCCAGGUAGUCCACGCCGUAAACGAUGAGUGCUAGGUGUCCGGGGUAUCGACCCCCCGGGUGCCGCCGCCAACGCAGUAAGCACUCCGCCUGGGGAGUACGGCCGCAAGGUUGAAACUCAAAGGAAUUGACGGGGGCCCGCACAAGCGGUGGAGCAUGUGGAUUAAUUCGUCACUAACCGAAGAACCUUACCCAGGCUUGACAUCGAGGGUAAGCCGGUGAAAGCCGGCCCUCCCGCAAGGGACCCGAAGACAGGUGUUGCAUGGCUGUCGUCAGCCCGUGUCGUGAGAUGUUGGGUUAAGUCCCGCAACGAGCGCAACCCUUAUCCCUAGUUGCCAUCGGGUCAAGCCGGGCACUCUAGUGAAACCGCCCCGGAUAACGGGGAGGAAGGUGGGGAUGACGUCAAGUCCUCAUGCCCCUUAUGUCCAGGGGCUACAAGCGUGCUACAAUGGCCGGUACAAAGGGCUGCAAGACCGUGAGGUGGAGCGAAUCCCAAAAGCCGGUCCCAGUUCGGAUUGGAGGCUGAAACUCGCCUCCAUGAAGUAGGAGUUGCUAGU
rnacentral:rRNA from 1 species